ACAGAUGACAAAGCAGAUACUCAGAAAAAAAUGAAUAACUGAAAAUCAUCAAAGCUCCUUUGGAAUUUUAAAUACAAAUGUUUACCGUCAGAAAUUCCACAUUCUGUACUGUACUCCAUGGUCUCCAUUACAUGAGCUGAACUAUGGAGUCACAGUGCUGCCGCAGGAGGUGCACUGGGUACGUAUGCCAUGAGACCAGGACCUGAGACCAAGAGAACAAAGUGGUCAAGACAAACCAAGGCCAAAUCAGAACACUGCACUCCGACUCUUUCUGCUCCCACUCUUCCAUGUGCACAAGUGUUUGAAUACACAGUUACACAGAUGCUGGACACCUUCACUUGAAGAAACCACAGACAACAAUCAACAUGCCUGACCUGAGCUCAUCA